rnacentral:misc_RNA from 1 species
AAAGUCGUAACAAGGUUUCCGUAGGUGAACCUGCGGAAGGAUCAUUACCAAUCCAAAAUAUUAUCCACCACUGUGAACUUGUCAACGUCUUUUGGGUGGAAGCAAAAGUUUAAUUUUCUUUUAUUUCACCCAACGUUUUUAUAACAAUAAAAACACCCUUUUAAACAAUUUAUGUUGAAAACUUUAAAUUUUUUAAAUUUAAUUAAUACAUAAAAUACAACUUUUAACGGUGGAUCUCUUGGCUCAU